rnacentral:rRNA from 1 species
AGUGAACGCUGGCGGUAGGCCUAACACAUGCAAGUCGAACGGCAGCACAGUAAGAGCUUGCUCUUACGGGUGGCGAGUGGCGGACGGGAGGGGAAUACAUCGGAAUCUACUUUUUCGUGGGGGAUAACGUAGGGAAACUUACGCUAAUACCGCAUACGACCUACGGGGGAAAGCAGGGGAUCUUCGGACCUUGCGCGAUUGAAUGAGCCGAUGUCGGAUUUGCUAGUUGGCGGGGUAAAGGCCCACCAAGGCGACGAUCCGUAGCUGGUCUGAGAGGAUGAUCAGCCACACUGGAACUGAGACACGGUCCAGACUCCUACGGGAGGCAGCAGUGGGGAAUAUUGGACAAAGGGCGCAAGCCUGAUCCAGCCAUACCGCGUGGGUGAAGAAGGCCUUCGGGUUGUAAAGCCCUUUUGUUGGGAAAGAAAAGCAGCAGGUUAAUACCCCGCUGUUCUGACGGUACCCAAAGAAUAAGCACCGGCUAACUUCGUG